GAUGAAUACAGAGAACAAUUUGCCUCCAUGCGUUCUUCCUGAGGGUGGAGACACGGUGUUUAAAUACAAGCUGUUUCUUUGAAAGGCUGAGGUGCUGAUCUCCAGCGGAGAAUGGAGGUGAUGUUCUGUAUACUGUAGUCCACACACAGUGGGACAAAGCAGGAGCAGAUCAGCCAAAUGUAGUCAGGCAAGCAUGCUGGUCCGCUACUAUACAGCUACUUGUUUAACAGGACAGGAAUACAGUGAGACAGUGGUCAACAUGAACAGAAUAGUGUGUGUCUUAUUUGAACAAUAAAAUGCAUUGUGAAUAAUACAUAUAGUGACUUUUAUCACAUUUAAAAAGGAACUACAUGAUUUGUCACAAUUAUUGAUACAGUUGCUAAUUUCCCUAUGAUUAUCAAGGCAUAAGAAUAUAGAUGCAGUCUUAAUGCAUUAAGGGGUUAAUUGGAGGUGUUUUCAAUUGGGUUUUCACAAUGCAUGCAAAACAUGUGGAAGGCGUUUAACCAGAUCUAGUCCCAACAGGCAACAGCUGUGAUAUCUAUCUCUCUAAUAUGAACAGGUAUAUAGUAUAUUGCAUAGUCAAAUAUAUAUGUUGAAUGGCUCGGUGGAAGAUUGGCUGGAGUUGUGGUGUGCCCUUUAAAAAAAAAAAUCUUCAGGGACUUUCAAAUUCAGUCUCCUCGAUGGUGACGUCACCGAUGUUCAGAAUAUUGACAGGCCACCUGUCGGGCGAGCUGCUCUUUAAAGCGGCAGGACUGUAACAACGCUAGACUUCUCUCUCUACACAUGGCAACGAGACGGCCCGUCAUCUUUCUUCCUCAACAGAUAGCAAGAGAGUCAGCGACAAGUAAACAGAGGAACAGAGCAGGUAGACAGAGGGAGAGAAGGGAGUGCUAUAGGUUGGCGCUAAUUCAUGAUGUGCAGUUUAUACCAUCUGAACAUGAUAGUCCUUCUCUGCAAACCAGUGACGCGUGAGGCAUCAGCAAACCAGGGAGGAUUGAAGGAAGAAAUGCACGCUGUGUCUAAGUACUCUGAAGGUAAGAUACUUGUAUUUAUUGUGUGUGUGUGAGAGAGAGAGAGAGAGAGAGAGAGAGAGAGAGAGAGAGUUUAUGUUGGGGUCGGGGUGAAAGGAGAGAGGAUGCCGGACAGUGCAACAGGUCGGCUGUAGCAAGCAAAAACCAAGCACUCACACGGCUUUUUCCUCCACCGACACAGUAAGCUACUUGGGCUACAUUCGCUGGUCAAAAGCAUUGGUAAAGAGCCCCCGAUUGAAAUAGAUGUAUUGUAGGCUAGGUACCGUUUAUAUAUUUCCCAUAAACCAUGACCUUUCGAACCGUAGACUACAUUAUAUAUUUAUUCACGAUUCCUAGGAUUAGGUUUGAGCAGCUGUAGUGCGCCUCUAUCAAACGGAUUUGCAAUUAAUUAUUUGUAAAAACGUCUGCUACUUUGCUUUCCGAUAAGCAGGCUAUAUGUAACCAUUGCCAUUUCUGACACGUCAUUUAUUAUUGCUUAAUGCCACUUCACCGAUAGAUAAACCAUCCAUAACACACACAGCACUAUCAUCUGCGGUUCAGCACCACCGAUGUGGACAGCUCCUUUCUCUAGAUGUUGGUUGUAAUUGGCCUGUUAGUUGCCCACUGUAUAUGAUCCACGGUAAACACAACAAAACUAGUAGAUAUAUUUUCUAGAAAUCAUAUUUGCAUAACAAUUGAAGGUUAACGAGUAUACCUGUUCGUUGUUCCUGUUUAACCAAUUGAAGUGGCAGAAUAGGGCACCUGUACUUAUUGAUGCAUUAUGUUAAACUGGUUGAGAAAAGGAGUAGCAUAUAAUAUGAGCAAACAUGUAUAACAAACAGGUUAGUUAAAUGAAUUCAGUGGGUUUGGAACAAAGCAGUAUACAUAAAUGUAGAAAUGAACCAAACCAAUUCAUCAGGAGUCAAUCUUUGAUGUCUGAUUGUUUGUGGAGAAAUGAUUUAUCAUAUUGAUGCCUCUGGCCCCCUCAAGGCUAAACAGAUAUGUGCAAGCAGGGAUGCAUCUGCCAGGAGCACAUCACGAGAAAUUCAGUCUCAGCUCUAACCUUGAAGAGGGCAAUCUGCUUCUGAAAGAGCAGCUCUUUAGAAGCGCCACAGGGGGAGGAGCCCCAGCAUCUGAACUGUCCUUUCAUCAGCCUGUCAGGGCAGGGAGCUGGUCACCCACACUGAGAAAGAGCACCCAGACUCCUCAUCACCACACAACUCAGAUAUAUAUAGAGAAAGAAGAAAUCCACAACAGCCGAGAUGAAAUGAGACAGGAAAGAACACAGCUGAUCAGAGGAAGGGAGAGCAAACAAUCCCUCCAAAUGCACUAAUCUUUCUCUGCUCCAAUAAAAACAAACCUGUUCAAUGUCAG
rnacentral:lncRNA from 1 species